AAAGAAACACAAGGCUGUUCUAGUUCAUCAGUCUACUGUGCAGGGAUGCAUAACUGAAAUAGUCUUAAAAGAUGGCCAUCCUGUUCUAUCUUGGUUAUUUAAUGGACACUCCAAGCAUCUGCCAGUACUUUUGUCCCAUAAGGAAGAUGACAAGCAUUUCUGAUUUUUACAUCAUCUGUUCAAUAGUCCAUGGAUAAUAGUUUCUUGAACCCAAUAAGUAUGUGGGUCUGGAAUUCAUAAGCCCAUGGACCUACAUGUUCUUACACUAUUUUAAUUCCCAGCAAACAUGAAGACAUUUUGGCUUCUCUUUUCUGUGGUUUCUUGGAUACAUUUAAUUCCUCCAGGACUCUGUCAAAUUCCAGCCUCAUUGGUUCUGGGCGUAGAAGUAUGCCGUGAUUACAACGGGAUUUGCCUGAAGACCCGCAAUUGUCCCUUUUUUUCUGCCUGGCAGGACAUAUGUGACAUAGACUACAUUUGCUGUAGAAGUCGAAUAUACACUGAUGAAGACUGUAAGGCAGCAAACGGAAUUUGUAGACCCCGAAGAGGUCCUGACCGUGAAUGUUCAUUCAAUACAUACAAAUUUGGAACAUGUAGCAGCGGAGGUGCAUGUUGUAUGAGUGUACCAUAUCUGAAAAGCUUCAAUACCUUAUAAAAAGAGUGAACAGAAAGUCAUGUACUUGAAUUCUAACCAAACCAUAACAGUAGAAAUGCAAAGCUUGAAGCUGACUGGAUUUGUGCUUUUUGCUAAGCCCUGUGAAAUAAAAAAACCUGCAUGAAGUGUUCGCAUUUUCUUUAUGGGAUGGAGCAUGGUUGUCGUCACCCCAGUUAUAAGUAUUAGGCAUGGGCGAUCCAUGGAAAAAAUGAUUCUAAACUCGCUUCUAAAGUAGGGGGUUCUGGUGCUUUGUUUCUUAAACUACUUCCAAAAUUUGGCCCCCAAAAUACUUACGAAUAUUUGGAAUAUUCUAAAGUAAUUCGUUAAUGGGGA